rnacentral:rRNA from 1 species
GUGUCAGCCGCCGCGGUAAGACGUAGGGAGCGAGCGUUGUCCGGAUUCAUUGGGCGUAAAGAGCGCGCAGGCGGCUUGGUAAGUCGGAUGUGAAAACCCGGAGCUCAACUCCGGGCGUGCAUCCGAAACUGCCCGGCUAGAGGUAGGUAGGGGAGAUCGGAAUUCCUGGUGUAGCGGUGGAAUGCGCAGAUAUCAGGAGGAACACCGGUGGCGAAGGCGGAUCUCUGGGCCUUACCUGACGCUCAGGCGCGAAAGCUAGGGGAGCAAACAGGAUUAGAUACCCGCGUAGUCC